UCACGAGUAACCCGUUCGUUUUUCUCUUCGUUUUCAAAGCUUUUCUGUCGCAUAACCACAGUUUUCGUUGAAACUUCGAAGACCACCACAAGGAAAAAGAAAAACCAUAAAGUUAUAUGGAUAUCAAAUCACCGAACAACAAGGAGUCAACUGAGGUGACACGUGAGUCGCUUAUUGCUAUUUCCAGCAGCUACUCUCCAGAUAAGAAUCUGGAGUCAAAUUCUGUGUCCGAGAACAAAAAAUCAGAUGGGGUUGCGAAGCCAAAAUGCGAUCAGGAUGAUGACUUCAGGUCUGAACUGAUUUCAAUUUCUUAUGCUGAAUCCCCUGAUGUCAAAGUCUCCUCACCAAUCUCAAUGGAUGUCUAAGCUACAACUAUAAUUGCCAGUAUUUCAUGUGUAAUUCCUGGACUUAGUCUGUUUGGGUUUUCUCUGUGUCAAUGGUGUGACUGAAUUUGUUAUAUACUGCACCAGCUAUCUUGCAAGUUGCAACCUUGUGUAAAUACUUUCACUGGCAACAUGUUUGAUUCCUAUGUUGGAAUGACUAUGAUAACUGUGUUGUCUCAGUGCUAUGUUAGUUCAUCUGUACUUUAUUUUUACACUUCAAAUAAUACAGUAGUCUUGUGCUUGUUUUUCAUAUUACUGAACUCAUAAAUCAGCUCAUUCGUGUGGUAAUCUUACAAGGUGGCUUAUAGGGUGCAAGUGCAUCUUAGGUCUUGCACCAUACAAGAGCAAAAAUGACCCACAAUAUAAGGGUGACUCGUUGGUAAAAAAUAGAAAAAUGAAGAUUACAGAAUUAGCCUUUUACCUUCUUCUUUUUCUCUUUGCCCCUCCUUUCUCCUCUGCCUCUCCACCACCAUAGCCACGGCCAGCCUUCAAAUACCCUAAAAUUGCUUCCAACACCCUCCUAAGCACAUAAAUCAACCCAGAAACUCCUUUGUAGCGCAUUUGCAGAUCUAGAAGCGGAGAAGUUGGAGGAAGAGAGCAGACGCAGAAGAAGAAACUCAAAUGAGUUCAUUGACUUCUCACACGGAGUCCAUCAACAUCACUCUAUAAUACAUGGAGAAGUAGAUUCAGGUGCCUAAUACUUGAGCCUAAACGGUUCUUAUAUGUGUUUGUUAAUUAUUACGAUUCAAAUCGUCACAACAAGGUAACCCUUUUUGUUUCUCUGCCUCUUUGUUUUCAUCUUUGCAUUGCAACGACGAUGAAUUGAGAAGUAGGAGAAAUGAGGAGAGAAAGGGGCAGAGUACAUGAGAUCGGAUUCUGAAUCACGAGAUCUGGUUUUUCUUCAAACGUAAAUCUGAAUCACAAUAUAUGGUUCUUCCUGAUAUUAUGAAUCUGAUUUUUUAAGAGAUUGGGGGUUUAAAGCAAAUCAAACGAACUGUGCUUUCGAUUUGUUUUGCAUAUCUCCAUUGAUGAAUCUGGUUCUCUUUGAACGACAGUGCAUAUCUCUUUGAUUGACUCUUCUUAAUGGUGAUUUUGUUAUCUAAUUCUGGUUAUGGUUUCUGUUCUAAUUUUUGUUUCCUUACUCUGAUCUGGGUCUCUAGUUUUCUCUCAUAUGUGGUUUGAUGUGGUUUGAAGUCCUGUCGCCCACCACUACGCUGAGAACGUGCGACCGGUUGCUGGCCGUUGUGGGGCGGAUUGCCCGGGGUUUCUUUGCGAUGGCGAAAGACCGGUGUUGAGAGAAAGUUCUUUCAUCAAGGGCUUAAGUGUCAUAACAACAAUAAAAUUAAAAUAAAAUAAAGAAAGAAUUAAACAAGAUAUGGCACGGUGCAUGACCUAAGAGGUAAUGCACCUUAGACAACACCAUGUUGCAAGCUACAAUAAAUAAAUAAUACGAUUUUACCA